CCUACGGGUAGCAGCAGUGAGGAAUAUUGGUCAAUGGGCGGAAGCCUGAACCAGCCAAGUAGCGUGCAGGAUGACGGCCCUACGGGUUGUAAACUGCUUUUAUACGGGAAUAACGCGCCUUACGUGUAGGGCUUUGCAUGUACCGUAUGAAUAAGGACCGGCUAAUUCCGCGCCAGCAGCCGCGGUAAUAAGGAAGGUCCGGGCGUUAUCCGGAUUUAUUGGGGUUAAAGGGAGCGUAGGCCGCAUGUCAAGCGUGCUGUGAAAUGUUCGGGCUCAACCCGGGCCUUGCAGCGCGAACUGGCGUGCUUGAGUCCGCGGAAAGCAGGCGGAAUGCGUCGUGUAGCGGUGAAAUGCUUAGAUAUGACGAAGAACCCCGAUUGCGAAGGCAGUUUGCUGCAGCGGAACUGACGCUGAUGCUCGAAAGCGCGGGUAUCGAACAGGAUUAGAUACCCCAGUAGUC
rnacentral:rRNA from 1 species